AGCGAACGCUGGCGGCAGGCUUAACACAUGCAAGUCGAGCGGGCACUUCGGUGUCAGCGGCAGACGGGUGAGUAACACGUGGGAACGUACCCUUUGGUUCGGAAUAACGCUGGGAAACUAGCGCUAAUACCGGAUACGCCUUUUUGGGGAAAGGCUUGCUGCCGAAGGAUCGGCCCGCGUCUGAUUAGCUAGUUGGUGGGGUAUGGCCUACCAAGGCGACGAUCAGUAGCUGGUCUGAGAGGAUGAUCAGCCACACUGGGACUGAGACACGGCCCAGACUCCUACGGGAGGCAGCAGUGGGGAAUAUUGGACAAUGGGCGCAAGCCUGAUCCAGCCAUGCCGCGUGAGUGAUGAAGGCCUUAGGGUUGUAAAGCUCUUUUGUCCGGGACGAUAAUGACGGUACCGGAAGAAUAAGCCCCGGCUAACUUCGUG
rnacentral:rRNA from 1 species